GAUGAACGCUGGCGGCGUGCCUAAUACAUGCAAGUCGAGCGAACAGACGAGGAUCUUGCUCCUCUGACGUUAGCGGCGGACGGGUGAGUAACACGUGGAUACCCUACCUAUAAGACUGGGAUAACUUCGGGAAACCGGAUCUAAUACCGGAUAAUAUAUUGAACCGCAUGGUUCAAUAGUGAAAGACGGUUUUGCUGUCACUAAUAGAUGGAUCCGCGCCGCAUUAGCUAGUUGGUAAGGUAACGGCUUACCAAGGCUACGAUGAGUAGCUGACCUGAGAGGGUGAUCGGCCACACUGGAACUGAGACACGGUCCAGACUCCUACGGGAGGCAGCAGUAGGGAAUCUUCCGCAAUGGGCGAAAGCCUGACGGAGCAACGCCGCGUGAGUGAUGAAGGUCUUCGGAUCGUAAAACUCUGUUAUUAGGGAAGAACAAAUGUGUAAGUAACUAUGCACGUCUUGACGGUACCUAAUCAGAAAGCCACGGCUAACUACGUG
rnacentral:rRNA from 1 species